rnacentral:lncRNA from 1 species
GGUGAGUUAUCCUCACUAUAUCUACAGGGUCUAAGGCACCAAGGCCGGCCCUUUAUCGGAUUGUAAUCCGGGUAUUGUUGUUAUGUUAUUGCUUUGCUAUGAUUGCAUCCUGGUAGUUAGGAUGGUAUAUGUUAGAGACCUGGUUAAGGUCGGUAUCCUGGUACAUAGGAUGAGGCUAUAUUAGUGACGGGUUAGGUCGGUAUCCUGUUUUGAGUAUGCUAUGUAUGUGAUCUGCUAGAUCGGUUGAUUGAUGAUAAAUGGUUAUAUGGUAAUAUGUUUAUGUGCACAUGGUUGGUUGACUGGGGUUGGGUUGAGGCGGGUCCUGCUUUGUGUUGUAGGCUAACAUACCCAGGGCGAACCGAAUAUUUCGAAGGCCCAGCGAGCGGUCCGGAUAGGCUAUAGGCCCCUCGAGGGCAGACCAGACGUGCCGAGGCUCAGAGAGUGGACCAGGCUGACUGAAGGCACGGUGCGGGCGGACCAGUCAUACUGUAGACUCAGAGAGUGGGCCAGGUGGGUUGAAGGCCCAGUGCGGGCGUACCAAGCACACUGCAGACUCGUUGGAUAUGGCUAGACUCGGAGGGUGGACCAAGUGGACUGAAGGCCCGGUGCGGCGGACCAGUCACAUAGUAGACUCGAAGUGCAUGGCUUUUCUUUUCUGUUAUGACAUGUUAUGUGUAUGGUAUAUGUGGUUGGUAUUUGGGGGUAUCUCACUAAGCUUUUGGGCUUACAGUUGUGGUUUAAAUGUUUUUAGGUAUGUCAGGAGACCGUGGCAAGGCGAAGGCGUGAACGUACCGCUCCUCAUGUUUAUGUUUUAUGAUAUGGUUCUUGGAAUACUCUGAUAAUAAAUGUAUUGAAAACCUUUUUUGUAAUAACUUAAUGAAUUUGGGUUGUUUUUGAAAAGUUUAAAUUGGCUUGAAUUUUUGGAUGUUACAAGUUGGUUUCAGAGCCUUGGUUUGAGUGAAUUGGAGGAACAUUCGUGUGAAUCCAGUCUCAAAUCAAGCAGAGUUUUCAAAAGAGAAUUUAAAAUGGUUUUCAAAAAUGAGUAAAGGAGGACGCAGAGGUACGAUCAGCCGGAGCCAGUAAGUCGCCCCAAAAUACCAAACAAGUUAUUUGUUUAUGUGAUAUGAUAGAACAACAUGCUAGUACUAGGCUAGGGAUCUUCAGGAAUUGCAUGAUAGAGUUGCCUGAUUUAUGAUGCCUGCUAGCCUAGGGUUCCUUUCUGUAUGAGAUUUCUAGUGUUCCUCUAGGAAUGAGGGUUGAGUGCUUGUUAUGCCUGUUCUUCUCUAGGGUGUUGUGGUGAUACUUGAUAUAAAUAUGGGUAGGUGUGGAAGGUAGUAUGGGCUCGUACUACUGAAAGCACAGGACCCAUACGCAUAUCAAGGAAGUCACAACCCCUAGGGCUGGGUUAAGAAUUGAUUCCCGGGUUAGUGGGAGGUUUCUAAUGUUUGCGGUGUUUUUCAGUAUGGUGGUUAUGAGGCAUGCUGGGAGUGGAUCCGAGUCAGGAUCGGGAGCAGGAGAGGGCGGUUAGGGUGGGUCAGCACCACCUGAGGUUAUUGGUCAGAUGAGCACAAACGAGUUGGAUGCUAGGAUUCAUGAGAUCCUACAUGAUGAGGUUGCUGCUAUGUUCCGGGCCGAGUUGUUGGAGUUGUUUGGGUCGAUCAAGACAACCAUGGUCGAGUAUUUUGAUGAGCGCUAUGCAGCUCUUACAGAGACGGCUGUCGCGACGGCUACAGCGGCUGGGGGAGGAGCCGGUAGAGGUUUUCAAUAUCGAGACUUCAAUAAUACGAAGCCCACUACCUUCGAUGGAGUUCAGGACCCGAUUUUUUCUAUGAGAUGGUUGUCAGACGUGGAGGGGUGUUUCUUCAUGUGUUCAUGCCCUGCUGAUCAGAGAGUGAGGUAUGCUAUGAACCUGUUGAGGCUCGGGGCGAAGGAUUGGUGGAGAUUGACCACGGGGUCAUAUUCGGAUGCGCAGCGGGCUGCGGUUUCGUGGGAUCAAUUCCGGGACAUGUUUAGUAACCGUUAUGUUCCACGGGUUAAGAGGGAGAGGUUGGCUCAAGAGUUCCUGGAGCUAAAGCAGGAUACAGAGUCAGUGACGGAGAUCACCAGGAUAUUUACUGAGAGGGCGAUAUUUUGUCUGGAGUUUGCUUCAGAGCAGGCUCAGAUGUCCCGAUAUCUGAGUAUGCUCAAGAGGGAUAUCAGGAAGUUUGUGUCUAUGCAGAGGUGCGAGACUUUGUUGGAGUUGCAGGAGGCCGCUCGGCGGCGUGAGGUGGAGAUUGAGCUAUAGUUGAGGGAGCAUAGGCAGGCCCAGGCACAGUCACAGCCGGCGCCGAAACGGUCCAAGACCGUUGAUACUAGCACGGGAAAUCAGAGCAGCCGCACUUGUGGAAAGUGCGGGAAGGGUCACACUGGAGUUUGUAGGUCCGGUGGUGCAUGCCACAAGUGCGGGAGAGAGGGGAAUUACACAAGGGAUUGGCGUCAGACAGCCCCAGUCCAGGAUAUGAGGAUUUGCAAUCAGUGUCAUCAGGUUGGUCACAUGAGGGCUAACCAUCCACAGCUGAUUGGGAGGUCGGUGCAGGCUCCCGCACCGGCCACGUUGAGGAUUACUAGUGGGGGCCAAGGUGGGGCGGAGCCUCCGAGGGCCCAGGGGCGUGCUUUUCAGCUUACUAUAGAGGAGAUCAGGGCAGAGCCAGAUGCAGCUGCGGGUAUGUUUUCAUUUUUUACCUUGUUAUUUUGUGGUUAUUGUGGAGUAUUGCAUAUGCUAGUCUUGUUGCAUGAUUUAUAGUGUUGUAUUGUUCGCCUUUUCGUUUGGGUUAUCUUUUGGUAGAGGGUUUUAUAGCUAGGAGUUGUAGUUGGAUGGUCGGGAUUGGUUGUGUGGUCUUGUUGUUGGGUAUAGCAUUCACGAUGUGAGAAGUGUUCAGCUGGGAGUCGGACUCCCUUGGGAUUCGAGAUGUACAAUGUCGGGAGAGCAGUUUUGUGAAGGUUACUCGUUCAGAGGAAAGCAGUUUAUGGAUAAGGAAGGUAUAGGAUAGAGAUGUAUGUUCUAGGCAGGAUGACUCACUGGUAUUUGGGGGUUAGUGUUCUAAGUGGGGGAGAAUUGGAAAAUUCUCAGGAGAAUCAACAAGUAUUUGAGUUUGAUUAGUUGUUUGGAAGUCAGCGGUGUUUCAGUCAACCAAGAGUGUGGGCUGGUAUGAGUAAGUGGCAGACUAGUGGGGGCCGGGAGCAGACCAUGGAUUCAGGGUAGAUGGUGUUUGAUGUUAGGCCUGGGUUAGGGCAUGGAAAGGAUUUCGGGAUCGGAAUGGAGUUAGAGUUCGGAACCCCUUGAGGGCUAGAAUAGUAUGUUCAGGAGAGAGUCCCGGGAAGGAUAGUUCGGAAUGAUAUAUGAUAGUCUGAGCGGUCUGGGGAGACUGAAGGCCUAUGGGCGUACCAGUCAGGCCGAAGGCUCGGAGAACGGUCCAGACAGGCUGAAGGCCUUGGAGGUCGGCCCAGACAUGCUGAAGGUUCUGAGAGUGGUCCAGUUUGGCUGAAGGCCUGGUAAGGCGGUCCAGUCAUGCUGAAGACUUGGUAGGUGUUGAUACAUCCGUAUGAGGAGAUGAAUUGAGCACGUUGCAAUGAAACGGGUAGGUCUGACCCCGGGUAUUGAUCAUGUUAGUGGAAGGCAGUGCGAGGACCUGAGAGUCCUAGUGAGCAUAUUCAUAGCAUGUGUAAUGCGUGAAGUAGCGGUUACUCUACAAGAGAUAAUGUAGAGUGGGGGUGUGAGCACCGUGGUACUUGCUUGAAGUAGCAAGGUUGGUUGGUAGAUUUCCUUGGUUAAGGAAGGGCAUGUAGCUCCGGAAGGAGCGUGGGUACUCCAAAAAAAAGGAGGAAGUGGAAUAAGUGGGUUAUCGACAGUACUUCAGCUAGGAGUAGUAAGUACUGGGAUUGUACCAGUGGUAUGGAAACACAUCCAGACUGGGUGUCUGUUGAGGUUGCGGAUGGAUUUCCGGUAAUGUAGAACAAGAAGAGUUCGGAGGGGAUGCAAGGAUGGAACCUUGGAUUUUCUGUAUGGCAGUGAUCAGGAGGUGAUGUAUGAUUGGUAAUUCAUCCUGGGGAUGCUUGGAGGUAUCGUCAGUGUGUCGGGUUUUUCCAGCCCGAGGAGGUUAGAGCAGGUUCAGCACGUGUAUGUGAUUGCUGAGGAGAGCUCAUGAGAGUUGCUCAGGAGCUAAAGGAUGUAUCAUCAUGUCAGCGCAGAAAGAAAAGGGUUGGAUUCGGAAUGGAAGCGGGAUGAGUCCCGGAAGAGAAUUCGAUUAAGGUUACGCCCGUCAAGGAAAGGGGUAGCAGCUUGUUACCAGGUCAGGACCCGGUGGUUCAGGGUAAUAUCUAGCCUGGUAAGGUCCAAGUGAUUGUUGAGAUUUGGAGUGAUGAAGUGUCAUCGGGUGAUCAUUGGUUAAUAAGGGUUGUUAUCGGAGAAAGAAGCCGGUGGCCAGCUUGAAUCAGUUGUCGUGAAUAUGCGAGGAAAUAGUUGGACUUCAUAGAGGUUCGAUAACAGUGUUUGGAGGAUCCUGGGUCGGUUGAGACUAGGAGUUGUAUUUAGGGAGUGUCAUCUGGGAUGUGUUGCUGCAGGCUUCGAGGAUGAAGCCUAAUUUAAGUGGUGGAGAAUUGUAACAUCCCGAGUUCAGGAGUGCAAGUUAAGGGUUCAAAGUGAAAAUGUGGAUGGUCAACUCAGCGAGUCCAUGGGUAGACUCGGCGAGUAGGGUCGUGAUUCUGGUCACGUGUUAAGUGGCCAACUCGGCGAGUCGGUGGCUGGACACAGCGAGUUGGUACUGUGUGGAGAAAACCCUAAUCCCGGGGUNGUCCUGCAUUGUGUUGUAGCCUAGCAUACCCAGGGCGAACCGAAUAUUUCAAAGGCCCAACGAGCGGUCCGGAUAGGCUAUAGGCCCCUCGAGGGCGGACCAGACGUGCCGAGGCUCAGAGAGUGGACUAGGCCGACUGAAGGCACGGUGCGGGCGGACCAGUCAUACUGAGUUCAGGAGUGCAAGUUAAGUGGUGGAGAAUUGUAACAUCCCGAGUUCAGGAGUGCAAGUUAAGG